rnacentral:rRNA from 1 species
CGGAGGAAAAGAAACCAACUGGGAUUACCUUAGUAACGGCGAGUGAAGCGGUAAAAGCUCAAAUUUGAAAUCUGGUACUUUCAGUGCCCGAGUUGUAAUUUGUAGAAUUUGUCUUUGAUUAGGUCCUUGUCUAUGUUCCUUGGAACAGGACGUCAUAGAGGGUGAGAAUCCCGUUUGGCGAGGAUACCUUUUCUCUGUAAGACUUUUUCGAAGAGUCGAGUUGUUUGGGAAUGCAGCUCAAAGUGGGUGGUAAAUUCCAUCUAAAGCUAAAUAUUGGCGAGAGACCGAUAGCGAACAAGUACAGUGAUGGAAAGAUGAAAAGAACUUUGAAAAGAGAGUGAAAAAGUACGUGAAAUUGUUGAAAGGGAAGGGCAUUUGAUCAGACAUGGUGUUUUUUGCAUGCACUCGCCUCUCGUGGGCUUGGGCCUCUCAAAAAUUUCACUGGGCCAACAUCAAUUCUGGCAGCAGGAUAAAUCAUUAAGAAUGUAGCUACUUCGGUAGUGUUAUAGCUUUUUGGAAUACUGUUAGCCGGGAUUGAGGACUGCGCUUCGGCAAGGAUGUUGGCAUAAUGGUUAAAUGCCGCCCGUCU